CGUCUGCCGUGCAAUUGCCAUCGAUUCGGAGCUGUGAGCCGCGAGCCGCCGUGCCUUACCGGCAGCCAGCUUUGCUCUGAGCUGCGCCCGUCUCUCGGCUCCGAAGGGCCCCGAAGUAUGCCGCUGCGCGGGGGGACCCCAUCGCCGUCCUGCCCGGCGGAGCCCCGGGAAGAGGGGUUCGACUGUAGUUUCCUCCAGCACCCACACCUCCAGCACCACACUCGCAGAGACGGGUGAAGAGAAGGGCCUGGCCCUUCAGCGCUGCAAAACUGGCUGGCUGACCCAAACCGUCCAUAAAAGGCUGAGUCCAGGGAUUCACCUGCGCCCACAGCCCUGCACGCCCCACUCGUGUUGGUGCUGGUUGUGGCACAGGCACAGGUGAACUUUCUCUUAAAAUAGCUAGCACAAGCUGGCCAGGGCCGGCACAGAUAAUUUUCACCUACUUUAAACAAAUAUUGCAAGUGUUUUCUUUUGGUGUUUUGAAAUUGCUGUCGCAAGUCCGUUCUUCUCUGCAGAGGGCAGAGGGUCCAGCUCCAGCCCCCUGUGACAUCUUCCCAGUGACGGCAGCGCGCCUGGACACGGGUCCAGGGGGGCUUAAACCUCUAUUGGCCCCCGGUGUAUCUGCUGCUCAGGGACUAAGUUUUGCUCAUGAGAAGCAGAACCAAUCUUCCUUGUGAUUUUUCUCCUCCCAGGCAGGAUUUCAGUUAUUUAGAAGUAAAAGUUGGACAAUAUGGUAUUUUUUUCCCAGAGUUUUUCAGGGGGCAGUUUAGAGGGUAAAACAGGCCUGAGAAAGCUGAAUCCAGCUUUAUCAGUGCAAACUGGUAACAGGAAAAAUGGCUCUGAGGCUACGUGGGGGAAGCAAGACACCGCCAGCACCCUCCGGCUCUGGCACUGAGGGGCAGAGGCUCUGGGAAGCCUUCCUUGGAUUUAUCAGUGGGAAGAUGAAGGAAAGGAUUUUUCCUCUCCCAUCACUACACCAGAAAUCGGGUUAUGCGGCAAUAAAUCCCAGCCUGAGUGGUACCUGGAGGGCUGCCCUUGCUAGGGGUUCCCCGAGCAUCCGCCAGCCCCAGUGCCCCCGGUCCCCGGGCGUCCUUGCCAGGCAGAAACAGCAGCUCUUUCAGGGACGGGGAGCGCAGUCCCCGUGGCACAAUAUGGGAAAUCAGGAGGUGCUGGUUGGAACUGGGGCCGGGGCAGCGGGUGGCUGGUUGCUUGCUCAGGGGUUUCUGCUCCACACCUCUCAUGGACAGCCCCAGCUCGGCACACCCUGGCCCCCACUGCGAGAGGGGCAGUGGGGCCGUCCCAGGGUGGCUGAUGGCACACUUGGCUGGAGAGGGCCAUGGUUAAAGAUUAAAACUGCAUCCAGUUUGCAAUAUUUAUCUUGGGAGCAGGAGGGCCCCAGCUUGUUUGGUUUGUGGGAAGCGCUGGGAAACGGUGACGCUGGUGUGGAGAGACCCGGCAGGGCUGGCCCUCGCGGGGGCGUGGGGUCCCGGCGGUCCCCGCACAGCGAGCGGGGGAUGCGGUGGCACUGGCAACGCGGGCGGGAUGGGGACAAAACCCAAGGGAGGGGCUCACAUCAAUGGGUGCACCCCGCAGUUAGGACGUGGCUGCUCCCCUCCCACGCUUUGCACAGCGUCCUGCCUCUCAAAUGGAGACGGUGGCACCUGCCUCUCUCCCAUGGUUGUUUCAAGGAUAAAUGUAUUAGAUAUAUUAGACAUUAGUGAUGGGAAGCAUGCAAGUAGCGUAGACAGAUAAUGCUUUUUCAUUUAUAUUGCACUAAACAUUACCUACUAAAACAUUUUUCAAAGAUUAAUAACUGGUUGCCCAAGCUAUUAGCCCUACUCUAGAAGCAUCCACCCAGAUGUACUGGGACAGUGAGCUGUCCAGCUCAUGUGAAAUUGUGGGGUUUAAAGACAUUUUGGUGGCAAGAGUGCCUGAUGUGCACAAGAGUGAUAAAGGUUAUUUGGGAGCUGCCUUGCAUUUGUGCUCUGCAGGCCAGGCAAACCUCUCCAGAGCAAUUUGUGCAUCAGAACAAAUCAAGAACAAGCUGUCCCAGAGAUGUCUGAGGUGGGUUUGAAUACCAGCCACACUCAGAGAGCUGAAAUGCUCCGAGAAACAGGGCUUUGGCCAGCAUGGGUGGGAGGUCUCAGUCAGCCCCGCCCACUUGAGUUUUACACUGACGUUACUCCUACCUUGGUAGUCAGCUGUUAUAUUUAAAAUCAGAUUGAAUGAAGUAGUAUAGCAUGUAUUGUAGAAUACUGACACUGCAUUAAUUGGGAGGGAACCAGAUUAUGACACAGCUGAUUUUUUGUUUUUGUAUAUAUGAUUUUACAAAGAGUUGCCAGAAACCACUUAGAGUUUUUAGAUAUUUUGGUUAGCACCUAAAUUAUCACUUUUUACAUGAUUUUGGGGUUUGGUAUCCCCAAAAUAUCCCAUAGUGACUGGCAAUUGUUUAGGUUUCAGUAGCAGUUAGAGGGAGAACCCACACAGCUCCCUCCUGACCAGUGUUUCCCAAAGAGCUCUGCUGCUGGGGCUUUGGUAAGUCCUAAAGAGGGACGGGAGGGAGCCAGGACACUCCUGCACUGCUCUCACAGGCACUGAAAUAGGCAGUAAAGAGGAGUUUGUAGGUACAGGGAGAAUGUUCCCGUUACCGGACAUCCUCUUAAUUUUGUAAAGGCGUAAAAAGAUCCGAUACCCACAAGCUGCCUGUAAUAAAAGACUAGAGAUGCAAAGCACAUUUUAAUGGUGGGGAAAUAACCACUAUGAGAACUUAAAAAUAAGGCAGCAGUUUCUGCAGCAGUGCAAGUCCUUCCAGCAGUCAGUUUAAAAUCUGAAAGUCCUUAAAUCAAUCAGCACUGCCUUUCAGCUGCAGCACAUGGGCAUGGCAGCCAAGCUACUGUGCAAGAUGCUCGGGGCUGUGCAGCACACCUCUGGCCAAGGGUCUGCUACGGCCCCUGCCAGCCUGAGAGAGUCUGUUGCUGUGAGGUUACCUGAACUUCCAAAAACCCAUGGCAGAGUUCCUCACAGGAGCCGGUAAGGACACCGAGCAGUGUUGAAGCAAGCAGCAAGCCGCCUCUUGGCCUGGGAACUGGCCACGAGGCAGAAAUAGAGCAGGAAGGAUUGAUCGUCUCUGACCCAGCAGGAUGGCAGCUCCCGGGCUCCAGACCCACCUGCACGGAGGCCAAGAGGAUCACGGCUCAGGCUGCACUCAGACGGGUGAGAGUCCGCUGAGAUACCCACUGACACAGGCGAAACCAGGAGAAGAGUGGCUGCUGACCCCCGGGGCUCGGGGCAGUCUCCAGCCCACCCGGAGAGCCGGCUGCGCCCUCGGCGGGGCGCAGGCGCCGUCCCUGGCGGGGCUCCUCGGCACGGCCCGCUGCCGGCGCAGUUGGCUGCUCUUUGCCACGGUGCGCGCCGGCCAGCCGGCUGGCUGGCCCCUUCCACCGACAUCCCCCGGCCCGAGAGCUCACCGGGGGCUGCUGCCUGCUGCAGCGUUUGGUGAGAAGGCAUCAGGAGAGAUGUGCUGUCCUCAAGGUCAAGGGCUGCUGUGCUAUAGCGUCCACUGGAGCUGGAGGUAAAACUCAGAGACUAAAGCGGGGCAAUCUGUCCUUACUAGUGUACUGUAGGCAAUGGAAGUGGGUUAUAAGAUGUUCUUGGGAAUGUAAUUAACUUUAAUGAACAAAUACCCUGAGCCAAGCUGUGUACUGAUUUACAUGCUUUGUGACACCACAUAUUUCACAGGAGUGCAGAAUUUGAUCCAUCACACUAAGCUUAUUGCACUGCAUAAUGAAAUAUAGGGAGCAAUAAACAAGACCUUUGGCAA